CCCUUAGAUGUUCUGGGCGGCCCGCGCACUACAUUGGCACUCUCAAUAAGUUCCUAGAUCUAAAACUUUGGGGUAUUCUAUUAAGUGGUGUCGUGACUGGGAUUAACCCUUGCAAUUAUUGGUUACGAACGAGGAAUUCCUUGUAAUCGCGGUUUAUCAGCCCGCGUUGAAUGCGUCCCUGCCCUUUGUACACACCGCCCGUCGCUCCUACCGAUGAAUCGUCCGGUGAAGUUCAUGGAGUGGUGGUUGUUCCAGCUGCUGGCGAAGUGAAAUGGACCUCACGAUUUAGAGGAAGGAGAAGUCGUAACA
rnacentral:rRNA from 1 species